GCCAGAAGCCCACAGCCCGGAGCCCAGCAGCCCGGAGCCUGGAGCCCUGAGCCUGCAGCCCUGAGCCCGGAGCCCUGAGCCCACAGCCUUGAGCCCACAGCCCGAAGCCCACAGCCCACAGCCCACAGCCCAGAGCCCAGCAGCCCGGAGCCUGGAGCCCAGCAGCAGCCCUCUGAAGGCCUUGGCUCCGGGAGCUUGGAUCUGCCAGCAGUGAAGCUCUGACGUGCCCCUCACUGAGAACCACGAUCGAGGACUGAUUCUAGGCAUGUGCUCUUGGGGGCACGCCCCCCACAUCUCCUCAACCCCAGCAUUUCCUUCCAUCAAGGGAUUUGUCCAAGAGGACUCGAGGCUCCGGGGAGAAAAGGCUGGUGCGAGGCGGCAUAGGGAACAGAUCGGAGGAGCCCAAAGCAUCUCGGAAAGACAGAAAGGACACUUAAAACUCAACUCUGGCCCUGGCUGGUGUGGCUCAGUGGAUUGAGCACGGGCCUUCGAACCAAAAGGUCGCCGGUUUGGUCCCCAGUCUAGGGCACAGGCCUGGGGUGUGGGCCAAGUCCCCAGCGGGGAUCAUGCAAGAGACAACCACACAUUGAUGUUUCUCUCUCUUUCUUUCCCCCUCCCUCCCCCUCUCUCUAAAAAGUAGAUGAAUAAAAUCUUAAAAAAAAAAAAUCACUCAACUCUGGGGCUAUGCCAAAGGGGCACCAAACCACCAGCAGGGCUCCCAGGGGCCACAGCAGGACGGGUUGGGCAACGAGACAGGUAAUGCCGCGUUGGGUAACAAUGCAAAGCACAAAGUAAAUAUCCACGUGUCUCUCCGGGUACAAAUAAAUAAUGGAAGAGGUGAUUGAGUGGGGGAGAAUUCUAAAGCAGCAGUGUAGACACUGACCCCCAAGGGGCUGAAGCGUCACCCCCCACACACACUGUGCAAGGGGAUAAAGAGGACCCUGACAGUGGAGAUGCCGGGCAAGCACCACCUCAGCCGGGGGGCCAAGGCCAACAUCGGCAGUGAUGUGUCUGCGCUGCCGUGUUGCCAGGGGCCACAGAUGAGCAACAUCAUUAGCGUCUUUAUCACCGAUACUCUAACUCAGGGCAACUCAGGGCUCCAGGAUCGUUCUGUGAAACAGUAACAACUUUCAGCUUUGCAGCCUUCCGUCUCAGCCUCUGCAGGGAAACUGCUCCUGGGAAUCUGUCAAUACCCGGGCCUGGGUGCGUUCCAAUAAAACUUUAUCU